AUCUUUCUAGUAUAAGGUAAAUAUACGUGACUUCCAAUCCCCUGAUCUCGGUUAAAAUCCGAGGAAAGAUA
rnacentral:tRNA from 1 species